rnacentral:rRNA from 1 species
CCGUGGCUCAGUAUUAGACGCUGGCGGCAGGCCUAACACAUGCAAGUCGAGCGAGAAAGGUCUUCGGACUGAGUACAGCGGCGGACGGGUGAGUAAAGCGUAGGAAUCUACCUGGUAGUGGGGGAUAACUUGGGGAAACUCAAACUAAUACCGCAUACGCCCGUACGGGGGAAAGCGGGGGACCUUCGGGCCUCGCGCUAUCAGAUGAGCCUGCGUAGGAUUAGCUAGUUGGUGAGGUAAAGGCUCACCAAGGCGACGAUCCUUAGCUGGUCUGAGAGGAUGAUCAGCCACACUGGGACUGAGACACGGCCCAGACUCCUACGGGAGGCAGCAGUGGGGAAUAUUGCGCAAUGGGCGAAAGCCUGACGCAGCCAUGCCGCGUGUGUGAAGAAGGCCUUAGGGUUGUAAAGCACUUUCAAUUGGGAAGAAAAGUUGGUCGUUAAUAGCGGCCAGCCCUGACAUUACCUUUAGAAGAAGGACCGGCUAACUCCGUG